rnacentral:rRNA from 1 species
AGAGUUUGAUCCUGGCUCAGGAUGAACGCUGUCGGUAUGCCUAAUACAUGCAAGUCGAGCGAGGAACUUGUUCCUAGCGGCGAACGGGUGAGUAACACGUAGGUAAUCUGCCCUCAAGUCGAGGAUACCGUUCGGAAACGAACGUUAAUACUGGAUAGGACAUCAUAUAGCGCAUGCUAAGAUGUUUAAAGGUUACGCUUGAGGAGGAGCCUGCGGCGCAUUAGCUAGUUGGUGAGGUAACGGCUCACCAAGGCGAUGAUGCGUAGCCGGACUGAGAGGUUGAACGGCCACAUUGGGACUGAGACACGGCCCAAACUCCUACGGGAGGCAGCAGUAGGGAAUUUUCGGCAAUGGGCGAAAGCUUGACCGAGCAAUACCGAGUGAAUGAUGAAGUAUUUCGAUAUGUAAAGUUCUUUUAUUAGUGACGAAAAGGCCCGCAAGGGAGAUUGACGGUAGCUAAUGAAUAAGCCCCGGCUAACUACGUGCCAGCAGCCGCGGUAAUACGUAGGGGGCAAGCGUUAUCCGGAAUUAUUGGGCGUAAAGGGUGCGUAGGUGGCGAUGUAAGUUUAUGGUUAAAAUGCUGGGCUCAACCCGGUAGCGCUAUGAAAACUGCAUUGCUAGAAUCUGAAAGAGGUAAGUGGAAUUCCAUGUGUAGCGGUAAAAUGCGUAAAUAUAUGGAGGAACACCAGUGGCGAAGGCGGCUUACUGGUUCAUGAUUGACACUGAGGCACGAAAGCGUGGGGAGCAAACAGGAUUAGAUACCCUGGUAGUCCACGCCCUAAACGAUGAGUACUAAGUGUUGCCGUAAGGCAGUGCUGAAGUUAACACAUUAAGUACUCCGCCUGAGUAGUACGUACGCAAGUAUGAAACUUAAAGGAAUUGACGGGAGCCAGCACAAGCGGUGGAGCAUGUUGUUUAAUUCGAAGAUACGCGAAGAACCUUACCAGGUCUUGACAUCCCUUGCAAAGCUAUAGAGAUAUAGUGGAGGUUAACAAGGUGACAGGUGGUGCAUGGUUGUCGUCAGCUCGUGUCGUGAGAUGUUGGGUUAAGUCCCGCAACGAGCGCAACCCUUAUCGUUAGUUACCAUCAUUAAGUUGGGGACUCUAGCGAGACUGCCAGUGAUAAACUGGAGGAAGGCGGGGAUGACGUCAAAUCAUCAUGCCCUUUAUGACCUGGGCUACAAACGUGCUACAAUGGUUGUUACAGAGUGAUGCAAACUCGCGAGGGCAAGCAAACCACUUAAAGGCAGUCUCAGUUCGGAUUGAAGUCUGCAACUCGACUUCAUGAAGUUGGAAUCGCUAGUAAUCGCAGAUCAGAAUGCUGCGGUGAAUACGUUCUCUGGCUUUGUACACACCGCCCGUCAAACCACGAGAGUUUGUAAUACCCGAAGCCGGUGGCCUAACCGCAAGGAGGGAGCCGUCUAAGGUAGGAUAGAUGAUUGGGGUUAAGUCGUAACAAGGUAACCGUA